rnacentral:misc_RNA from 1 species
UUCUAUUUUAUUUUUAUCAUUUACCCAGAUACCAGACGUCCCUAAAUUUGAGGAGGGCAAAUCAUCAAGUAGCAAGAAAGGCGCUAGCACAUCUGCAGUCAUGGAGGAAGCCGCCACUGCCGAUCCCCAAGUAUAUUCCAACGGGACCGACACCAUGGAUGUUGCUGACCACGAUGACAUCUUUGACAUGAAUGCGAGUGCAGAGGUCACUCAGACAGACGACGAAUUCGAGAACAAUGAACGAUUGAUGGAGGAGGAGGAUGCAGUAACGAAGAAAGAAUUUGUCGAGGUGGAAGACAUUUUUCAGAAUGACAAUAGCAUAAUCCACACCAAUGAUACUGAACAUGAAAAGAUGGACAAAGAGAAAGAAGAAGUAGAAGAUAUCUUUGGAGAUGACCUCCAUGUUCAGGAGGAAGAGGAGCAUGAUUAUGAACCUAUAUUUACAGCAGACGCAAGGGAAGAAGAGCCUGUCAUAAAAAUUACAGAUGUAGAUACCGAGAGGACCGAACCUGAGGUCGUUUUGGAACCCGAGGGGAAUUUGGACAAUGCGGCGGAUACGUCUAAGCUUGAUGCAGACUUGCCCUUUCCUGAUAUGCCCCGGAAAAGUGAUAUUUCCCUCAAUUGGGAGGAUGUCGUAGAGGAGGAGCAAAAGAGGGAUCAGUCCUCAGCACCUACUUUGCCUUCCACAGACACUGAAGCACCUGCUGCCCCCGUGGCAGAGCAGGAAGAAGAAAUAGACGAGGGAGAAGUGGCCAAAUUUGUGGAGAAGAUUUUGAUCAGUUCAAUGAAUGAAGUGUCUAGUCAAGCAGAGGAGGAAGGAGAAAGCCAAAAUGAAAGUUGUGUUGAGGUUCAAAUCAGUGAGCCUGCUUUAGAAACCCCUGAGACCACGGUUGAGUCAGACAAUGUUCUUUCCUUGGAGACUGGGCCAGAGAAGGUUGAUGUUGAUGUUGUCGAUGAGCCAGCUGAAAAAGAGGACUUCUCAGUCAGCAUUAAAACUCCAGCCAGUGUGCAUCCUGAAAUCAAUGGACUUGCUAAAGAUGAAGCUAAGAAUGAUAAAGAAGUAGAAAUCCAAACUGCUGUUCCCUUGUGUGCAGUGGAAGUAGCAAAGGAAGUGGAAGAUGAAGUGAAAGACAGUCCAGUGAAGGAUAGUCCAGUGAAGGAUAUUAAAGAAACUCCAAGUGCAAGCUCAAAUUUUGUUGACAGUCCGGAUGUAGGGGUAUCAAGAACAUUUGAUAAGACGGAAGAGCUUACGAAAACACCAGACUCUUUGGUUAUUGAAGAAAGCAAACCAGAGGUUGAGGUUACCAAGAGCAUGGAGUCAAGUGAAGGUCGACAACGUAAGAUGUCUGUUCCGAAACCAAGGGAUCUAAGGAAAGACUUGUCUGGAGCCAGACCCAGCUUUUUUGGGUCGGGCACUUCUGGCCCAAAGCCCUUUCUUUCUAAUACGCUACCUAGGGUAAGUGUCCUUCCCAAAAUCAGCACAUCCUACCAACGUAAGUCACCAACGUCACCAUUGUCUCUAUCUGGAAAUUACUCCAGCUUUGACAGUGCUGCAGAAGCACUACCAACAGUUGCAGGACCAGAUUUGACCAAGGAUGACACAAAAGUCAUUAAAGAACUUGAUACCAUUGAACUUCCUCUUAUUGAAACACUGUCAAAACCAACAUCAUCGAAUGCAGCCACUGUAUCAACAGAUAACGUAGAUCCCAUUGUCCCGACAAAAGAGACCAAGGUGGAAUCUGGUCCCAUGGCACCUGUCUACGCACACAAAGGUGCAGGGAAGGAUCCCAUUAUCUUGGAUGGUACAUCUCCUGAAGAACUUGAAGCAAUCUUUGCCAAAGACCCAGAGGAAGACAAAACAAAGAAAAGCAUGGGAAAGGACGAUGUCAUUGCAUCAACACGAGUCAGGAAGGUAUCCAGAACAACAUGGAAAGGUCAAGAUGAGUUCCAGAAGUCUAUUGACAAGUCUGCUGUUAUCCUUGAUGAGCCGCAAGCUGCCAGCUUAAAGAGAUAUGAGGAACGGAAGAAGCAACGAAUAGAUGCAUUUUCAGGAAAAGUCAGAGCCCGAGAAGAUUCUACGUCAGAGGCUGAAUCUGAAGGAAGUCAGUCAUCGCAUAGUGGCCCGAAAAUGCCAGAUGUUGUCCAGUCAGGAGGAAAAGUCUCCAGUAAUGGAAAUCCAGAGACAGAAAAAGUAGCACCCAAGCUGAACAUGAAAUCUGUUCGUUCUCUCUGGGAGCAAAAGGCUGCGGAAGUAGAGCAACGCAGACGUUCUCUACAAACCAAGAGUCGUCCAGUAUCCCAAGGAGAAAGAUCUAGACCAUCCCAAUCAAAGAGUAUCAACAAGUCUUGUGAUGCUCUGGACAACCUAGAUGACAGCAUUGAAGGCAGCACAACCUACUCGUAUGAUGGAACUUCUGAUGAUGGUUCUACCAAGAGGGAAAGUUUGAUUGAAAGGGAUCUUCGUCUACACAAAGAACGUACCUUGGAUAUUUCAAAAGACAGGGAUCGUCUACGAUCGGAAUCCACCUCCUCAAGAGAUGAGAGUCAGCAGUCGGAGACGUCAGAAAGUUUGGACGAUCAGGCUGUGGACAUCGUCCGUGACACCGAGCUAAGAAGAGACUCUGAUGAUGGAAGGUCUUCACCGAGUCAAAGCAGCGGGUAUAUGUCGGGUCGUUCCACACCGUCAACUCCUGCAGGAGAUGACAUCCUGAAGGUCAAGACAGGAAAGUCCUCAGGAAAGACUCCUGAGUUAAAGAUGUCAUUGUCACCCACCGAUCCAGAGGCCAGUUCUAACUACAAGGAGUACCAGAAAGCUCUCAGGGGUUCCAAGGCAGAUGGGAAGUUCUCCAAGAGUGCAACCUUCCCAAGGAGAAUGGAAAACUAUGACAAAGAGGGUGAUUCAUCUGGGGUUUCACCGACCAACAGCGUAGGUGACGUCCCUGACGUGAUCAUGGUGGAUGGUAACAAAGCAACGUCUCCAACCGAAGGGAAACCAAGGAAGACCAGCAUUGUUCAGCAAGGAAUCAAGCUAUCACAGACACUAGAGAAGAAGAAGAUCGAAAAACUUGAGAAGAAACCAAGACGCUCCUUGAUGGAGCUGGAGAUUGCAGCCCAGCGUGAGAAGGAAGAGGCGUUCCGUCGAGAACAGCAAACAAGGAAGAUGAGCACCUCCAAAUCGCUCUGCGAAGAGGCCCCGCCCAAGUCUCCUCCGGCCUCGUCAUCGGCAGCCUCCUCAGUCCAGACGUCGCCCAGGAAGACCUCGGUGUCUGGGGUGACAGCCAAGCAGGUUUAUAAGUAAAGCAAAUGGAUUAUGGAUUUUUACAAUGAUCAGCUAUAGUUGCAAGCAAGGACCCAGGAUCUGAACUAUGCUCCCCAAACAAA